UACGAAGGGGGCUAGCGUUGUUCGGAAUUACUGGGCGUAAAGCGCGUGUAGGCGGGUCUUUAAGUCAGGGGUGAAAUGCCAAGGCUCAACCUUGGAACUGCCUUCGAUACUGGAGACCUUGAGUCCGGGAGAGGUGAGUGGAAUUGCGAGUGUAGAGGUGAAAUUCGUAGAUAUUCGCAAGAACACCAGUGGCGAAGGCGGCUCACUGGCCCGGAACUGACGCUGAGAUGCGAAAGCGUGGGGAGCAAACAGG
rnacentral:rRNA from 1 species